rnacentral:rRNA from 1 species
AUUGAACGCUGGCGGCAGGCCUAACACAUGCAAGUCGAGCGAGCGGCGGACGGGUGAGUAAUGUCUGGGAAACUGCCUGAUGGCGGGGGAUAACUACUGGAAACGGUAGCUAAUACCGCAUACCAUCGGAUGUGCCCAGAUGGGAUUAGCGAGUGGGUGGGGUAACGGCGCACCUAGGCGACGAUCCCUCGCUGGUCUGCGAGGAUGACCAGCCACACGGGAACGGAGACACGGUCCAGACUCCUCCGGGAGGCAGCAGGGGGGAAUAUUGCACAAUGGGCUAAAGCCUGAUGCAGCCAUGCCGCGUGUAUGAAGAAGGCCUUCGGGUUUUAAAGUACUUUCAGCGGGGAGGCGUUACCCGCAGAAGAAGCACCGGCUAACUCCGUGCCAGCAGCCGCGGUAAUUC